rnacentral:rRNA from 1 species
GAGUUUGAUCCUGGCUCAGGAUGAACGCUAGCGGCAGGCCUAACACAUGCAAGUCGAACGGUAACAGAUCUAGCUUGCUAGAUGCUGACGAGUGGCGCACGGGUGCGUAACGCGUAUACAAUCUACCUUUAACUGAGGAAUAGCACAGAGAAAUUUGGAUUAAUACCUCAUAGUAUUAUAUUAAGGCAUCUUUUUAUAAUUAAAACUCCGGUGGUUAAAGAUGAGUAUGCGUCCUAUUAGCUAGUUGGUAAGGUAAAAGCUUACCAAGGCUACGAUAGGUAGGGGGCCUGAAAGGGUGAUCCCCCACACUGGUACUGAGACACGGACCAGACUCCUACGGGAGGCAGCAGUGAGGAAUAUUGCACAAUGGUGGAAACUCUGAUGCAGCCAUGCCGCGUGCAGGAUGAAUGCCCUAUGGGUUGUAAACUGCUUUUAUACAAGAAGAAACAUCGGUACGUGUACCGAUCUGACGGUAUUGUAUGAAUAAGCACCGGCUAACUCCGUGCCAGCAGCCGCGGUAAUACGGAGGGUGCAAGCGUUAUCCGGAUUUAUUAGGUUUAAAGGGGUCCGCAGGCGGAAUAUUUAGUCAGUGGUGAAAGCCUACAGCUCAACUGUAGAACUGACAUUGAAACUGUUAUUCUUGAGUAUGGAUGAAGUGGGCGGAAUAUGUCAUGUAGCGGUGAAAUGCAUAGAUAUGACAUGGAACACCAAUUGCGAAGGCAGCUCACUAAACCAUUACUGACGCUCAUGGACGAAAGCGUGGGGAGCGAACAGGAUUAGAUACCCUGGUAGUCCACGCCGUAAACGAUGAUCACUAGAUGUUGGCGAUAUAAUGUCAGCGUUCAAGAGAAAUCGAUAAGUGAUCCACCUGGGGAGUACGUUCGCAAGAAUGAAACUCAAAGGAAUUGACGGGGGCCCGCACAAGCGGAGGAGCAUGUGGUUUAAUUCGAUGAUACGCGAGGAACCUUACCAAGGCUUAAAUGUAAUAUGACCGGUUGAGAGAUCAACCUUUUUUCGAACAGAUUACAAGGUGCUGCAUGGUUGUCGUCAGCUCGUGCCGUGAGGUGUCGGGUUAAGUCCCAUAACGAGCGCAACCCCUAUUUUUAGUUACCAGCGAGUAAUGUCGGGAACUCUAGAAAAACUGCCUGUGUAAACAGAGAGGAAGGUGGGGAUGACGUCAAAUCAUCACGGCCCUUAUGUCUUGGGCUACACACGUGCUACAAUGGUUACUACAAUGUGAUGCCAUCUGGUGACAGAGAGCUAAUCAAUAAAGGUAAUCUCAGUUCGGAUCGGAGUCUGCAACUCGACUCUGUGAAGUUGGAUUCGCUAGUAAUCGUAUAUCAGCCAUGAUACGGUGAAUACGUUCCCGGGCCUUGCACUCACCGCCCGUC